AUAGUUAUCUAGGCUUGAUAUUCGUGGGGGGAAACGGUGGAUUUUGGUGUAGUUAUUAUUCACCGUUUCAUCCCCACGAUUAUUCGGUUUCAAUUGCUCU
rnacentral:pre_miRNA from 1 species